rnacentral:rRNA from 1 species
AUACAUGCAAGUCGAGCGGACUUGAUGAGAAGCUUGCUUCUCUGAUGGUUAGCGGCGGACGGGUGAGUAACACGUAGGCAACCUGCCCUCAAGCUUGGGACAACUACCGGAAACGGUAGCUAAUACCGAAUACUUGCUUUCUUCGCCUGAAGGAAGCUGGAAAGACGGAGCAAUCUGUCACUUGAGGAUGGGCCUGCGGCGCAUUAGCUAGUUGGUGAGGUAACGGCUCACCAAGGCGACGAUGCGUAGCCGACCUGAGAGGGUGAUCGGCCACACUGGGACUGAGACACGGCCCAGACUCCUACGGGAGGCAGCAGUAGGGAAUCUUCCGCAAUGGGCGAAAGCCUGACGGAGCAAUGCCGCGUGAGUGAUGAAGGUUUUCGGAUCGUAAAGCUCUGUUGCCAGGGAAGAACGUCCUUGAGAGUAACUGCUCAAGGAGUGACGGUACCUGAGAAGAAAGCCCCGGCUAACUACGUGCCAGCAGCCGCGGUAAUACGUAGGGGGCAAGCGUUGUCCGGAAUUAUUGGGCGUAAAGCGCGCGCAGGCGGUCAUUUAAGUCUGGUGUUUAAUCCCGGGGCUCAACCCCGGAUCGCACUGGAAACUGGGUGACUUGAGUGCAGAAGAGGAGAGUGGAAUUCCACGUGUAGCGGUGAAAUGCGUAGAGAUGUGGAGGAACACCAGUGGCGAAGGCGACUCUCUGGGCUGUAACUGACGCUGAGGCGCGAAAGCGUGGGGAGCAAACAGG